GUGAGUAGUUCAGAGUUUGAUCCUGGCUCAGGACGAACGCUGGCGGCGCGCCUAACACAUGCAAGUCGAACGAGUGGAACCCCUUCGGGGGUGAAGCUAGGUGGCGGACGGGUGAGUAACACGUGAGGAACCUGCCUCUCAGAGUGGGAUACCGUUUGGAAACGAACGUUAAUACCGCAUAACGUACAAUUGUCGCAUGGCGAAUGUACCAAAGAUUUAUCGCUGAGAGAUGGCCUCGCGUCUGAUUAGAUAGUUGGUGAGGUAACGGCCCACCAAGUCUGCGAUCAGUAGCCGGACUGAGAGGUUGAUCGGCCACAUUGGGACUGAGACACGGCCCAG
rnacentral:rRNA from 1 species